CCUCCUGGCGCAGACACUUAUUAAAAUACGUGCAUCGAUAGCACACUUCUUUUUCCAGUGGGGCUUAGCAAUUAAGAUCCUCUGUCACUUCUCGGUGGAGAGGUCCUUGAAGCCUGAGACCAUGGUUUACUCAGCUGGUAUCCACUGCUCAGGACAAAGAAGAUGCUCAGCGAUGGUGCUUGAGUGAAUGAAUGAAUGAACCUCAGGACUUGUAUUUUGUUCUCAAGCACUGCUUGUUGAGGUCAUUUUCUUCCCUGCCUGCAGGCUCCUGAGUUACCACACAGCCACCUAAUUUAGUCAGGGGCACUAUGGAGAGGGCCUGGAAACCUGGUUACACAAGUGUUUGGCCUAUUAGUUCUCUAUGGCUGCUGUACCAAGUUAUCACAAACUUAGUGGCUUAAAGCAACACAAAUGUAUUAUCUUACAAUGCUGGAGGUCAGAUGGAGGACACAGGGUUUGAGCUAGCAGGGAUGCAUUCUUUCUUCAGGCUCUAGGAGAGAACCUAUUUCCAUGCCUUUUCUAGUUUCUUAGGGCCAUCCACAUUCCUUGCUCCCAGCCAUUUCUUCCUGUUGCUUCUACCAGCAACAGCGGCUUGAGUCCUUCUUAUACCAUCAUCUCUCCAGGUUUCUCUCUUCUGCAUCCCUCUUCCACUGAAAAAGACCCUGUGAUUCCACUGGGACUACUCCAAAUCCAGGAUAAUCUCCUAUGUCAAGGUCAUCUAAUUAGCAAACUCAACUCCAUCUACAACUUUAAUUCUUCUUUGCCAUGUAAACUGACAUGUUCACAGAUUCUGGGGAGUAGGUCAUGGACAUCUUUAGAGGAGUCCAUUAUUCUGCUUACCACUGCCUGUGAUACACUUCACAUCCCAGAUAGGGAAUCUCUUGGUUACCUUCCCAUAAUUCUCUUCCAUUCCUGUGAAUAACUGAGAGUUAACUGCUGUAAGACUUGCCAUUCAAGCCAAAGACCAGUGUUAGAUCCAGAAAGAACCAGGUGGGUGCUGUGGGUGAACACCUUCCUCUACAAAUGGGGGUGAAAGUAAAUGAGUCAUGUAAGGUGCUGGCUUCUCUUUGGUUCUGAAUCAUGACCACAAAGAUGUACUUGACCACAGAUGAACCAAUCUUGGGUAGAGAUGACUGUUAAUAACCUUGUGCCAGGAGCUCUUUUGCAUAUAUCAUCUCAAUUACCACUAUCACUGCAGGGUAGGUAUUAUUGUCCCCGUGGUUCAGGUAAGGAAACUGAAGUUGAGCCAAAUUAAGGUCAUGCAAUAAGUGGCAGAGCUGAGUUUAGAGCUGGGGCUUAACUGAUUUCACUCAAUUUAUGGUCAGCUCCAGGAAUCCAUUUCUCUUAAAAGUCCUCCUGAGGCCGGGUGCGGUGGCUCAUGCCUGUAAUCUCAGCACUUUGGGAGGCUGAGGCGUGCGGAUCACCUGAGGUCAGGAGUUUAAGAUCAGCCCGGCCAACAUGGUGAAACCCUGUCUCUACUAAAAAUACAAAUAUUAGCCUGGUAUGGUGGCGCAUGCCUGUAAUCCCAGCUACUUGAGAGACUGAGGCAGGAGAAUCGCUUGAACCCGGGAGGUGGAGGUUGCAGUGAGCUGAGAUUGUGCCACUGCACUCUAGGCUGUGCGACAGAGUGAGACUCUAUCUUAGGGGAGAGGCUGUGCACUUGAAUUACCUGGUAUGCUUUUAGAUAAUACCAAUGACCUGCUGCAAAUCAAUUGCAACUGAAUCUCUGGGGGUGGGGCUUGGUUGUCUGCAUUUUUUUGUUAGUUUCCCUAAUUGUAAACUGCGGUUGAGGUUAAGAGGCGCUGCCUUAGGAAGUGCUGUGUGUUCCCUUCAGAACCAGCUUUGUAAGAGCACUUUGUGCUCUUAACCUCAGAGUACCCAGAACUGCCCCCAUCAUGUCCUGUGACUAGGGAAGAAAAGUCCAGCAAGCUGGUUUCUCUCACUCUUUUGGGACUGCACUUCUUGGCAGACUUCUUGAUGAAGUUAUAUGGGAGCCUCUCCGACUGCCCUUCACCCCUUUCUUGACUUAGCCGCUAUCGGUGGGUGCCUUUGCCUGGGUGUCUCGGUCUCCCUAAGUGAACAGGGAAGCAGAGAAACAGCUCCACAGAGUGCAGGAAUAUAUAUGUUGCACUUCAGAGGAUAAAAGUACUUCAUUUUCACUCUCUUCUUCCCCUUCCCCUCAUUGAUUUUAUGUUGGAAUAAGUUCAGUACCAGCAGAAAAUACUAAUUUGCAAAGACAGUGAUUUAAGUGUCUCUCCAGACUUCUUGUUGGUUUAGUAAAUCCACAUAACACUUUAGAGUGGAAAUAACUUGAAUGCUUGCCCAGAAUGGCAGACAUGUGCUGUUGCCAGAAAGAGCAGUCGACUGGGGUAGAGGGAAACGGAGGUUUAGCCAUGUUUUCGUGACAAGUUUGCUGUAUGGCAUCAAGAAGGUAAUUAAAACCUCUAUGCCUUACACAAAAAACAGACCCCAGGAGUGUGGUGGGGUACGUUAGGGGAUUCCUCACCUUUCUAGGCCACGUGUGUUUUAACAUAUUAAGAGUUCUUAUUCGUGAAACACUUCAAGAAUACAGAUUAGAGGAAAUAAUAUAAUGCCUAUAUAUCCAUUGCAAAAUUUAGAUAAUGGUUAUUAUUUUGCCAAAUUCAUUUUAGAUUUCUUUUAAAAAGAGAAAAAUACAUCGAUGCUUACCAACCUACUGUCCCUUUCUUUUUUUUUCCUUCCUUCCUCCAAUAUGACCAUGUACUUGACCUUGAUAUGUUAUUCUCAUGCAAGCUUUUCUGUUUUUUCUGCUUGUGUAUGUAUGUUUAAUUUUGUAUUUUCAAAUUAAUCAUACAUUUUCUUCUGUUUGUGAUUUGAAAAUGCUUUUCUAUCCCAAAUUCAAAAAUAUUUUCCCAUCUUGUAUUUUAAAGCGGUUUCACAGUUUUGCUUCUCAUAUUGAGGUCUUUAACCCAUUUAGAAUAAAUACUUGUAGAGGAUUGCUCGAUGCCAGGAAUUGGAGGCUAAAGUGAUCUAUGAUUGUACCACUGCAAUCCUGCUUGGGCAACAGAGUGAGACCCUGUCUCUAAUAAAUAAAUAAAUAAAAUCGAAUCCAUAUUUGUAAAGUUGUGCAGGAGAAACAAUUUUUUUUCUAUGAUUUCAAUAGUUCAUUCUUUCUCUACUGAUUUAUAAUAUCACCUCUAUUCCGUGUCAGGUCUUUGUAUACGUAGGUCUUUUUUUAUGCUCUGAAUUCAGUUCUAUUGGUCUAAUUGUCUAUUCCUACAACAAUACCACGUGGAUUUAAUUACUGUAACCUCAUAAGUUUUUCAAUUAAUUUUAAAUUGAGAUAUAAUUUGCAUACCAUAAAAUUCACUCCAUUAGAGUAUAAAAUUUGGUGUAUUUGCAGAGUUGUACAACCAUCAUCACUAUUUAAUUGCAGCACAUUUUUAUCACUCCCCAAAGAAACCCUGUACCCAUACAGUCAGUCCUCCUUCCGCCUCCCCCUAGCUUCUGGCAACCAUUAAUCUACUUUCUGUCUCUAUAUAUUUGCCAGUUCUAGUCAUUUCAUAUAAAUGGAACCGUACAAUAUAUGCUCUUUUGUGUUUGGCCUCUUAGCAUUUUUCAAGUUUCAUCCAUGUUGUAGAUUAUAUCAAUACUACAUUCUAUUUUAUGACUAAAUCAUAUUCCGUUGUAUAGAUAGAUGCCAAAUUUUAUCCAUUCAUCAUUGAUGGGCAUUUGGAUUGUCUCCACUUUUUGGCUAUUAUGAAUAAGCCAGCCAGUAUGUACAUUUCUGUACCAGUAUUAGUGUAAACAUAUGUUUUUAUUUCUUUAGGAUAUAUACCUAGGAGUACAAUUACUGGAUCAAAUGGCAACUCUAUGUUCAGCAUUUUGAGAAAACAUCAAAUUAUUUUUCAAGGUGGCCUACCAGUAAUAUAUGAGGGUUCUACUUUCUCUACAUCCUUACCAAUACUUGUCUGUGUUUUUUAUUAUAGUUAUUCUAGUGGAUGUAAAGUCAUAUUGCAUUGCGAUUUUGACUUGUAUUCCCUCCUGACUAAUGAUGUUGGGUGUCUUUUCACGUGCUUAUUGUUCAUUUGCAUACCUUCUUUGGAGAAACGGCUAUUUAAAUCCUUUGUCUCAUUGUAUGUUUUGACAUAUAGUAGAUGGUUCCUUCCUUUUACUUCUUCAAAUUGGUCUUGGCUACUCCUGAUCCUUCACUCUCUCAUAUGAAAUUUAUGAAUGGACUUAUCUCACACAAAAAUUCAUUGGGAUUUAUAAUGGAACCUGAGUGUGUAAUUUGAGAAAGUUGAUUUCUGCAAAUGUCUACAAACGUAAAUAUUGUUGGUUUCGCAUUUUAGUACCAUCUCUGGAAGACCUACCACCAAAUUGUUACAUGAGAGAGAAAGAGACUAAUAGUUUAAACAAACCACUAUAAUAUAGGUCUCUAUUAUACUCAGUGAAAUUCAUAUCCCAAAUAAUAAAUGAUACAUUAUCUAUUUAGAUUCAUUAAAUACACUCUUCAGUUAGUUAAAAAUUAUUUUGUCUAUAAAGACUUUCACAUCACUUGUUAGAUGUAUUUCUAUGUUCUCUAUAUUUUUUGUUGCGAUUGUUACAUGUAUCUUUUUCAAAACCACAUGUUCUGUUAUUGUUGUUAAUAUAUAAGGA
rnacentral:lncRNA from 1 species